GCCAGUGAAGGGCCGCUCGCGCGAGCGGUCCUACCCGGAGUUCCUCCGUCCUCUCGCGAGGCGCUGCUCUGGAGAAGAGGGAAGCCGGGGUCUGGAAAGGGAAAGCAAAGAUGCUUUCCUCGUGAGGAAAUAGCCUGUCUGGAGCCCUUUCCGUCCGUCUGCUCGGCCCGACUCGGUGGCCCACCCCCACUAAGGGGACCGCCGGCCCUGCACACAGCCAGCACCUGCGGCUCCGGCUCCGCCUUCCGCCCCAGGACCCGCCUUCACUCCCUCCAGGCUGUCGGUGGUCCCACCCCUUCGCGUCCCCACCGCUGGGAAGGAGCAGAAAACCCAACUGCGGUCCAUCAAAAACACAUUUUAUGGAGGUUUCUGGGAAAAACGACUUCAUUCUUUAGAAACUACUCAAGCCCUGACAGGCGUGGCUCGAAAUUCUCGAGGGACAUUCUUUUUUGACUGAACAAGGAAGUACUCAGCCCGCACGGCUGCUUGCCGCCACCUUGUGGCCACUGGAGGAACUCCAAGUGGUGGAAGGCAGAAAGGAAGGCCAAGGCUUCUUCAUGCCCACCUGUUCUACAUGAAGACUGGACUGAGUUGACGUUACUAGUUUUUUCAGGCAUGUGAACCAAUAAAUUCCCUUUA